CCUUCCCCUGCACGCACGCACUUCGCGGAACAAGUUGCCAGAGAGCCAGUGAGAAGGUUAUUUGCAAGGCCCUACCCAGUUCAGAGCAAGGUGAGGAGCCCUGGUCUGAGCAUCCCCAGCCCCUCCCAUGAAAGUAGUUCAAGUUAAUUCCAAAAGCAGCAGCAUCUUUAAAACCACCACCUUCCAUGAGAAGUACCCAGUUUAUAGCCGGUGAUAAAGAAAGCGGGAAGCAAUACACAGAUUUCC